rnacentral:lncRNA from 1 species
GCAGCACACGGCGCCCGAACAGGACCUGUCAAAGGGCGGCUGAAGCAGAGGGCACCGGAACGCAGCGACCGGGGGGUCCAGAGAGACCGAGCACCCCUACAGCGGCGGGUGUGUCGUUGUCGUCUCCGAGGACCUGAACUAAGCAGUUCGCCAUCUGCGUGGGCUGCAGGGCAAAGGCUGCAGGCUGAGUACAGGGUAAGGCGCGCUUUGCUUUUGGUAGUGCCAUAGUGCAGGAUAUUGCCAUAUUGCAGGGAUAACAGGAAAAUGGAGGACGAAGUAGCCCUAGAUUUAUUGCAGCGCUUUUUAGAAAAGCGGGGAGUAGACUGCAGACAACUAGCGGGACUAGUUGCGGUCGGUCGAGCAAAAUCACGUUUCACAAGUACGGAGUCAUGGUUUGAAGUAGCCGCUUGGAGAAAUCUAGGGGAUGUGCUCCGGGAUAUGGUAAUAGACGAUGACAAGGCAGCAGAGAAAUUGCUGAAACCGUGGGGAGACGUGAUAAAUGCAAUAAAACGAUAUCGGGUAGAAAGGAACUUGGCGGCGGUGGCACCUGACGGAUUGAGAGGAGGAAAGGGUGAGUCAGGUUCCGAGAGGGGGGCGUGGGCAGCAGGCGGCGGGGCGGGCAGCGCCUCGCUUUGCAGUCCCAGGAAGGUUCCCGGCCCCCCGUGCUGCGGCUCCGCAGCGGUUACACGGGGGAAAGAGGCCGUCUCGCCGGGGGGAGAUGGAGCUACGGCAGAAUUAAGCGGAGGGAAGGAAGAACGUGUCAGUGGGCGAGAAUACCGUGAGACUAAGGAUAGGGAAGGUGAAAGAGGGGAGAGAAGGACAGUGGGGAGAGUUAAUUGGCGGAGAAUCAUGGGCGAAGCUGUGGAGGAAAAACAAUCAGGAGCAUUUACAGACAUCUGUCAGGAUCCCGUGGCGUUCCCGGUGAUGUACGAAGGGGACAGCCAGGGAAACAUGCAAGGGAGUCACAGUAUGCUUAAUUGGAAGCUGCUGUCUCAAUUACGUAGUACAGUCAAUGAGUCAGGAUUGCAGAGUGAACCUACGAAGCAAAUGUUGGAUUAUAUCUGGGGAGGGACGCUGCUAUGCCCCGAAGAUAUCAAGGUGCUAAUGAGAACGAUAAUGACCCAGUGGCAGUUGUUGUUAUGGCAAGCCCAUUGGCAGAGGCAUUGCGAAACCUCAGCGCAGCGACCGAGGGACCCUAGCGAUCCGUUCCGCGGAGUUACCGUAGGGCAGCUUAUGGGGACGGGCGUGUUUGUUACCAUCACUGCUCAGCUCCAGUUAGGUCCGGAGUGUCGCCUUGAGUCCAUGAGAACAGCUCAAGUGGCCGUGGAGAAUGUUAAAACCACUGCAACAGCCCCCUCUUACCUGGCUAUGAAGCAAGGCAGGGACGAGCCCUUUGCAGGGUUUAUCGGUCGGGUAACUGCUGCCAUAGAUCAAGCAGGUGUCCCGGAGUGGAUGAAGGCGGCUUUAUUGCGGCAGUGUGUUAUGGGAAACACAAAUUCGGCUACAAAGGCUCUUAUAUUGACACUGCCAGGGGAUGUCACUAUUGAACAAAUGUUAGAAAGAAUGAGUAGGGUUCCAGUAGGGCCCCAAGCCGCGUUAGUAGAAGCGGUACGCGAGUUAGAGAAAGAUCUUCUACAAGCCCAGCAGCGAGCCUUUGCAGCUCUAGCCCCGCUGCGGACAGCAGAAAGGCGACCUCGAGCUCCAUCUCGACGAGGAAAUCAAUGCUUGCGGUGUGGAAAGGAGGGACACCACCGCCGUGACUGCCGAGCAGGACAGGUGCGGUGUGAGAACUGCAGGUCGGCGAAACACAACCCCGUGGCGUGCAACCGCUCGGGAAACGGGGCCGCGGGGGGACGAGGGAAAUGGAAGUGAUGGCGGUGCGGUGCGGGACAGCCGAGACCGAGCUGCUGCGGGAGACCGGAGGCGUCAGUGGACACCGGCAGCCGACCCUCAGCGUGUGGCGAGUGGGCACCGAGCAGAGGGGCG